GACGAACGCUGGCGGCGUGCUUAACACAUGCAAGUCGAACGGAAAGGCCCUGCUUUUGUGGGUUGCUCGAGUGGCGAACGGGUGGGUAACACGUGAGUAACCUGCCCUUGACUUUGGGAUAACUUCAGGAAACGGGGGUUAAUACCGGAUAGGAGCCCCGGUUGCAUGGUGGGGGUGGGAAAGUUUCGGCGGUUGGGGAUGGAUUCGCGGCUUAUCAGCUUGUUGGUGGGGUAGUGGCUUACCAAGGCUUUGACGGGUAGCCGGCCUGAGGGGGUGACCGGCCACAUUGGGACUGAGAUACGGCCCAGACUCCUACGGGAGGCAGCAGUGGGGAAUAUUGCACAAUGGGCGGAAGCCUGAUGCAGCAACGCCGCGUGCGGGAUGACGGCCUUCGGGUUGUAAACCGCUUUCGCCUGUGACGAAGCGUGAGUGACGGUAAUGGGUAAAGAAGCACCGGCUAACUACGUG
rnacentral:rRNA from 1 species